UCGAUUUGAUCUCCGCUUUGCUUGGAGUUCUAUUCCCUGGUUUUCUACAAUACUCCAAAGCGAAGGAUCACCAUAUUCAUGAUAUUCUUCAUGGUGGCGUCGUGGAUUCGGCGUAUUUGACGGCGGUUCGUGGAUUCGGAUCGUGGGCUCGUGGAUUCGAGUGGCGUCGUGGAUUCGGCGUGAUUGAAGCUUCGUGGAUUCGAAGUGAAGGCGUUCGUGGAUUCGGACGUGAGGGCGUGGACAACCCGGAGGGUAACGCGAAGAUUCAUAGGAGGUUAAGAGAGGUAGAGUCCGUGGAGUCGGUAAUCACCUUGUAAUCUUUUCUCUUAGUGAAUUAUUUUUUCGCG
rnacentral:lncRNA from 1 species